rnacentral:rRNA from 1 species
GAUGAACGCUAGCGGCAGGCCUAAUACAUGCAAGACGAACGGUAAGUUGAGUAGCAAUACUUAGCCAAGAGUGUCGUACGGGUGCGUAACACGUAUGCAACCUACCCUAUACAGGAGGAUAGCCUAGGGAAACCUGGAUUAACCCUUCAUAGUAUUAUUGGAUGGCAUCAUUUGAUAAUUAAAACUGAGGUGGUAUAGGAUGGGCAUGCGUCUGAUUAGUUAGUUGGCGGGGUAAUGGCCCACCAAGACGAUGAUCAGUAGGGUUCUGAGAGGAAGAUCCCCACACUGGCACUGAGAUACGGGCCAGACUCC